GCCUAGUUAGCUUAGUUGGUAGUGCGUCUGCCUUGUAAGCGCUAGGCCGUGGGUUCGAUUCCCGUGGGCG
rnacentral:tRNA from 1 species